AGACUAGCAUAGCUAUGUGAGGUCUAUAUGGUUAAUUUGGCUAUUCAUGAAUAUUAGGCGAUUUGUAAAUGUGGAAAUGGACUUACCUAUACAGAAACUGAUAUCACCAUCCCAAAGAAUUAUAGAACAAACAAGUGAAUAUAUGAUUAACAGACAAAGAAGUUCGGGUUAGUCUAGGCUGAUGAACGUGAAAUAAACAAGGAACCCACAGCUUCCAAUCACUUGAAUGGAAAAUGAAAU
rnacentral:misc_RNA from 1 species